rnacentral:rRNA from 1 species
AACGAACGCUGGCGGCAUGCCUAACACAUGCGAGUCGAACGAGACCUUCGGGUCUAGUGGCGCACGGGUGCGUAACGCGUGGGAACCUGCCCUUAGGUUUGGAAUAACUCCCCGAAAGGGGUGCUAAUACCGGAUAAUGUCUUCGGACCAAAGAUUUAUCGCCUUUGGAUGGGCCCGCGUUGGAUUAGCUAGUUGGUAGGGUAAAAGCCUACCAAGGCGACGAUCCAUAGCUGGUCUGAGAGGAUGAUCAGCCACACUGGGACUGAGACACGGCCCAGACUCCUACGGGAGGCAGCAGUGGGGAAUAUUGGACAAUGGGCGAAAGCCUGAUCCAGCAAUGCCGCGUGAGUGAUGAAGGCCUUAGGGUUGUAAAGCUCUUUUACCCGGGAUGAUAAUGACAGUACCGGGAGAAUAAGCUCCGGCUAACUCCGUG